rnacentral:lncRNA from 1 species
UCGUUAAUUCUGCAGAAAUUUUAUGAGCACAGCGAGGCUUUAACUCUUCCAUGAAUGUUCCCACCUACACAUAUAAAUGGAACCCAGGUUUUCUGGAGUUCAUGAUUUUGAGAAGCUCAGACAUUGUAGCCAUAGCAAAGUCAAGGCACAUUUAUUUUGUAUUCACAUGCUGUGCUUGACACUUCACACUGUGUAUUCAGAGCACCUGCAACAGGUAAAUCUACUUCGUUCCAUGCAGAUCAUGUACACAUGUCCAAGAUAACUUUAAUUGUUGUUAGCAGGUGUUAUGGCAAACUGGUAUUUCUUCUGAUGAAUGUAUUUCUUCCUCCUCUUGCAGCAGAUUUCAGAGCAUGCAAUCAGAGCAGAAUGAGUCCAUUCUGCCUCAGCUUAAUUGCUAGAGAUAGUUCAAAGCUAACACAGGGAUGCUUUUGUGACUGUUGAAUUUGAAAUGGAUACAUCACUUAGAAAAGCUGUGAGGUGCGCCAUUCUAAUUGUCUUUUCUACGUUCUUCUGUCCUUGUGCUUCUGACUGUGAUUCAUUCAUAUCCUGCACAGUGUUUUCAAUGACAAGUAUUUGUUUUUAUUUGUCUGGACAGUGAACCAUACGCUGUUUUAGACUAGAAAACAUACUGCCUCAUUUAGGCUGGGGAAGGGGAGAGUUUGAUCUCUGUUAGCUAUGAAGGUUUCCCUUCUUUGACUGGAGACAUGAAGUGGAAUACGUAUUACUGUAUGGGAAAAGCUUAACGGUGAUAAAGGUAGUUUAUUUGCCUGAUAAGCAUCAUUGUGGUAAAACAUUUAUUCAGUGACAGCACUGUACAUCACCUAUGUCGUGCAGUCUCACAGUGAGAGCACAGCAUCCUGUGACCAGUAUGUAUGAACAUGUGUCGUAUCGCAACAGCUCAAAAGGAGGAAACAAGAAAAAAAUCAUAAAAAAUUUGACUACAAAGAGUGGACAUGCUGAGGAAUUUUUUGGAAAGAAACCGAGAACUAAAUUAGAGAAUACCAUUACGACAUCUUCUGCAGUUAUUUUCUCACCAUGGGAAACCCUGAUACAUAACACAGAGGUUACUGCAACUCAGAAGGAAUAUAGAACAUGAAGAGAUGAAGACAAAUUUCCUUGGAAAGAGACAUUACAAAAAACUGAAAGGAAUUAAUGCAGUACAAAUGAAGAAGUCAGCGUGCACAAUAAACCCAGAGCUAAGACUGUCA